AGAGUUUGAUCCUGGCUCAGAUUGAACGCUGGCGGCAGGCCUAACACAUGCAAGUCGAACGGUAGCAGGAAGAAGCUUGCUUCUUUGCUGACGAGUGGCGGACGGGUGAGUAAUGUCUGGGAAACUGCCCGAUGGAGGGGGAUAACUACUGGAAACGGUAGCUAAUACCGCAUAACGUCUUCGGACCAAAGAGGGGGACCUUCGGGCCUCUUGCCAUCGGAUGUGCCCAGAUGGGAUUAGCUAGUAGGUGGGGUAACGGCUCACCUAGGCGACGAUCCCUAGCUGGUCUGAGAGGAUGACCAGCCACACUGGAACUGAGACACGGUCCAGACUCCUACGGGAGGCAGCAGUGGGGAAUAUUGCACAAUGGGCGCAAGCCUGAUGCAGCCAUGCCGCGUGUAUGAAGAAGGCCUUCGGGUUGUAAAGUACUUUCAGCGGGGAGGAAGGGAGUGAGGUUAAUAACCUCAUUCAUUGACGUUACCCGCAGAAGAAGCACCGGCUAACUCCGUGCCAGCAGCCGCGGU
rnacentral:rRNA from 1 species